CCUACGGGGGGCAGCAGUGGGGAAUAUUGCGCAAUGGGCGAAAGCCUGACGCAGCGACGCCGCGUGAGGGAUGAAGGUCUUCGGAUCGUAAACCUCUGUCAGCAGGGAAGAACGGUCACUGUGCUAAUCAGCAGUGAAUUGACGGUACCUGCAAAGGAAGCACCGGCUAACUCCGUGCCAGCAGCCGCGGUAAUACGGAGGGUGCGAGCGUUAAUCGGAAUUACUGGGCGUAAAGCGCUCGUAGGCGGUAUGUCAAGUCAAGGGUGAAAUCCCCGCGCUCAACGUGGGAACUGCCUUUGAAACUGGCAAACUGGAGUUUGUGAGAGGAUAGUAGAAUUCCAGGUGUAGGAGUGAAAGCCGUAGAUAUCUGGAGGAACAUCAGUGGCGAAGGCGACUAUCUGGCACAUAACUGACGCUGAGGAGCGAAAGCGUGGGUAGCAAACAGGAUUAGAUACCCCUGUAGUC
rnacentral:rRNA from 1 species